CAUCUUGCCUUCUGUUCCUGUCCUUUCGUAUCCUGGCUGGCCGUUUCCACGGAACGCCAGCUUUGCCGUCAUCAGACAUGCUUCGGCCCGCCAGGUUUGGAAGAAAAAGAGCACAUAAUCUGGCAACAAGCGACGUCUUCAUCUGCCAUCUGCGCACCGACGAGCCUAUAUGAACGCCCACCGGACCGCUCUUCACUUGGGCACGGCAUCGCAUCAAAAAUGGGGCGUUCACCGAUGCUCUUGUUACAGGUUCUCUAUGUAAAGCAUUCACAAUGCUUAUGUGCAAGGCCUUCAAGGUAUGUGGCCAAAGGACGACCUGCGGAAACUGUGCACUCAUUCAGUGCUGUGAUUUUCAGAGCAAAGUUCACCUUUGCCCUGAAAAUCACAGCGCUGAAAAUCUUCAAGUUUGAGAAACUGAAGCAGCAGACAGCUCCAAGACAUAAUUUGUGCAAGUCGCAUUUAGAAGAGCUGCAAACAACAAAAGAAAAAUAAGAAUAAAAGGUGUAUCCCCAGUG